GUGGUUGUGGCUUAGUGGCAGAGCACUUGCCUAGCACGUGUGUGGUACUGGGUUUAAUUCUCAGCACCACA
rnacentral:tRNA from 1 species